GAUUGACUAAGGUUUCCAGAGGAAGGCUCGUCCGCUCUGGGUUAGUCGGGUCCUAAGCUGAGGCCGACAGGCGUAGGCGAUGGAUAACAGGUUGAUAUUCCUGUACCACCUAUAAUCGUUUUAAUCGAUGGGGGGACGCAGUAGGAUAGGCGAAGCGUGCGAUUGGAUUGCACGUCUAAGCAGUAAGGCUGAGUAUUAGGCA
rnacentral:rRNA from 1 species